CUGGGCAUUCUGAGAGUCGGAGCCUCGCGACAUCUUGGGGGGAACGUAUGCCUGCUCCCCCUUUCUAUUCAUGUCGAUCAAUACUGCCCCCCCACUCACCCCAUGUCAAUCAAUACUGCUGCCUCCCAUGUCAAUCAAUGCUUCCCCCACCUCCACUCCCCUUAUGUCAAUCAAUGCUGCACCCCAUGUCAAUCAAUGCUGCCCCC